rnacentral:rRNA from 1 species
UACGGAGGAUGCAAGCGUUAUCCGGAAUGAUUGGGCGUAAAGCGUCCGCAGGUGGCUAUGUAAGUCUGCUGUUAAAGAGUCUGGCUCAACCAGAUAAAGGCAGUGGAAACUACAUGGCUAGAGUGCGUUCGGGGCAGAGGGAAGUUCCUGGUGUAGCGGUGAAAUGCGUAGAGAUCAGGAAGAACAUCGGUGGCGAAGGCGCUCUGCUGGACCAUAACUGACACUCAGGGACGAAAAGCUAGGGGAGCGAAUGGG